GCAAGGAACAAUGAUGGGGCAACAGCGGCCGAUUACGCGAGACGCUUUGGACAUCAGCGAGUGGUGGAUCUCCUGGUGUCACGUGGUGGACACUGAAGUCGGUGUCGGUGUGGACAGCGACGGAGCACGUGCCGUUACUGACACUGACGAGGUGUGUGCCGUCCACGUUGUCGUGUGUCACAAUUUACGUGAUUUCCUUUUACUUUGUGAAUAUAAAUAAAACUUGUUGAAAGUA